AUUGACUUUGUUCAAUGUGAAUGAGCAAUAUCUCAAUAUCCCCCAUGACUGGUUUUCAAAGGAGAACAAAAUUGUGGUUCUUCAGCUUGGGAGGUGGAAGGAUUCAGCCAAGCACCACAAUGAAGUCGAAAAUGAAGACCACAAAGAAGUUGAAAAUGAAGACCACAUAGAAGUCGAAAAUGAAGACUUCUUGAAAGCUUUGGGGACCAAGAAGCAUUUGAAGUAUCUCAGCCUGCGAGGAAUUUCAAGAAUCACUAAAAUACCUUCCACAAUCCGUAAACUCAUUAAUCUUGAAAUACUGGAUCUCAGGGCAUGUCAC
rnacentral:lncRNA from 1 species